AUAUGAUCUAGGGUAGGUAGAGAAGGCUUCACACCAGUCAUGAUAUAUGCCAAUCAGGCCUCGCUCAUAAAUAAUGCCCAGCGUAUUUUUCUCAGAGAUGGUUGGGACGACAUUCAUCACCCAUGAUUUUGGUGAUUCCAGAGCUGCAGCAAAGCUUCCUAAACCAGCAUUCAUGUCCAAUAUGUUUCUGUACCUUCCGGAGCUGAUUAGCUUGUUUGCCUUCUUAUAUGCAUUAACAUGUUUCUUCCAUAUCAUGUUGUCCUUUUCAUAAGAUUCUUUUGUCACACCUGGGACAUAACCCCCAGCUACUCUGGGAGGGAUAGCGAACAGUCUGUCUGGAAACUUUUUCAAUUUCCCCCCAGCAACUUCGCCUGGACUGCUAACCUCUGGAUAUGGAGUUAUGCAUGCUUGCAUCUUCUCAUCCCAGACAUCAUCAGGAUGUUCAGUUUUACACAUCUCGACAGAAAGAUCUUCCCUUUUUAGACAAGAAUCGGCAUUUGAUUUCUUUCUCCAGAUAGCUAUGUCCCCUUUCUCGUACUUCUUUUCCCAACAUAGCAUUUCAGCCAAUUCCUCA
rnacentral:misc_RNA from 1 species